UUGCAAAGUUGCUAUCUCUGCUGUUUUGCUGCUUUUGUAUGCUCGAUUUUAUCGUGGUACCGCCUGCUUUUCUCUGAUUCUGCCCCGAAGCUUUUUUUGCAUCCAGACAGGUUAGUGUUUCUGGUUCUCCUCUCUUUCCUAUUUCUUUUAUAUUUUGCUAUCUAUAUUCCGUCUCUAUCACUUGUAUUUUCUGCUAUGUGGUUGGUUGCAUCUUCUUAGAGCCUCACUUCUUUGACUUGAAUUGCGGGAGCUUAUUUACUACUUCCCGAAACUUUUGGAUGACUUUGUUGGGUUAACAAGGAGCUUUUCAACUCCUGUUCCUGUACUAUUACUGCUGAAGGAUGGAAAUUAUAGACAGCCUUGCAUUUCAUGCUGAA